rnacentral:rRNA from 1 species
GACGAACGCUUUCUUCGUUCCUAAUACAUGCAAGUCGAGCGAAGUUUUUCUGGUGCUUGCCCCGGACAAACUUAGCGGCGAACGGGUGAGUAACACGUAAAGAACCUGCCUCAUAGACUGGGACAACUAUUGGAAACGAUAGCUAAUACCGGAUAACAGCAUUAACUGCAUGGUUGAUGUUUAAAAGUUGGUUUUGCUAACACUAUGAGAUGGCUUUGCGGUGCAUUAGCUAGUUGGUGGGGUAAAGGCCUACCAAGGCGACGAUGCAUAGCCGACCUGAGAGGGUGAUCGGCCACACUGGGACUGAGACACGGCCCAGACUCCUACGGGAGGCAGCAGUAGGGAAUCUUCCGCAAUGGGCGAAAGCCUGACGGAGCAACGCCGCGUGAGUGAAGAAGGAUUUCGGUUCGUAAAGCUCUGUUGUUAGGGAAGAAUGAUUGUGUAGUAACUAUACACAGUAGAGACGGUACCUAACCAGAAAGCCACGGCUAACUACGUG